rnacentral:rRNA from 1 species
AAUGAACGCUGGCGGCAUGCCUAACACAUGCAAGUCGAACGAGUGGCGGACGGGCGAGCAAUGUCUGGGAACCUGCCUGAUGGAGGGGGAUAACUACGGGAACCGGUGGCUAAUCCCGCAUACCAUCGGAUGUGCCCUGAUGGGAUUAGCUAGUAGGUGGGGUAAAGGCUCACCUAGGCGACGAUCCCUAGCUGGUCUGAGAGGAUGACCGGCCACACUGGAACUGAGACACGGUCCAGACUCCUACGGGAGGCAGCAGUGGGGAAUCUUGCGCAAUGGGCGAAAGCCUGACGCAGCCAUGCCGCGUGAAUGAAGAAGGUCUUCGGGUUGUAAAGUUCUGUCAUUAGGGAGGCGGUACCUGCAGAGAAAGCACCGGCUAACUACGUGCCAGCAGCCGCGGUAAUUC